UAAUCCGUGUCGUCAUACCACCGCUAUCACGUAUUCGAUGGUAUUACACACGGUGGUAUUCGACUUGUUUUACUGUUGAGCGGGGCCUGCUUUCAGUGUAUUCAGCAUUUGAGAGCGGAGACGACGACUUGAUUUUGCAUGAUUUUCAUUCCUUUUCAUUUUCAUGUUUUAGAUACUUUUAUGAAUUUGGCAGGUUUGUUAACAACACUCUUGCCCGUGGUGUGUGAAAUUUAGAAGACCUAUUUCCACAUGACGGGGACUAUAACGGAAUUGUUUAUAUAUAAAUGGGAUUGUUUAUAUAUAAAUGGGAUUGCCUUAACAUGAAACGGUGACUUUGACGUGGUGUGUGAUAAAGUAACAUCCCGGUCAGUUCUGUUGGAUGGUAAGCAUUACUUGACAUCUCACUAGGAUAUGCUAGCGUGCUUUUCCUGGUAAUUGCGCAAUAAAUCGUCCUUCGUCUCCAUGUUGAAAGAGUGUCCGUUUACUUGUGCGACUCAUCAUCGCCACCAAAAUAAUCAUGGCUGCCAGCGUUUCUCUAUUAUUCUCGAACAGAGACAAACCGGUGGAAGUGCUACUAAACGAUGUCUGCCAUCUAGUGGUGUACAUUGUAGAACUUGAAACUGAUCAGGUGAAGCAUUUUUAUAAUGUUGAGAAAUUAAUCAUGGGGCCCCUUGGAGUGAUGUGGACCGCUAGUUGCCCAUCCCUGUUCAGGAUGUUUCUUUCCAGCUUCGUGGACUUUUCUUUGCAGUUAUAAAUGUGGAUUGGUGAAAGUGGACCAUUGACUGAGACUUGCUAGCUUUUUGUGAACUCUGCCUCACUUGAGUGUGAACACACUGCGUGGAUGUUCUGAAGGGUCGGCAUGCUGAGUUUUUGGAGCAGUUCUUGCCGAAGUGCUCAGUCACACGGCUGUUGUGGCUUGGGGCAUUCAGAUGAUCGGAAACAUGGAUUGCGUUUAACUGCUGGAGCAGUUCGCAGCCGAGUGUGAAACGGCUGGAAUGAGAAUCAGCACCUCCAAAUCUGAGACCGCGGUCCUCAUUCGGAAAAAGGUGGCGUGCCCUCUCCGGGUCGGGGAUGAGAUCCUGCCCCAGGUGGAGGAGUUAAAGUAUCUUGGGGUCUUUUUCACUAGUGAGGGAAGAAUGGAAUGGGAGAUCGGCAGGCGGAUCGGUGCAGUGAUGCGGACUUUGUAUCUGUCCGUUGUGGUAAAGAAGGAGCGAAGCCGAAAGGCGAAGCUCUCGAUUUACCGGUCGAUCUACGUUGCUACCCUCACCUUUGGUCACGAGCUGGGGGUUGUGACCCAAAGAACGAGAUCCCGGAUACAAGUGGCCGAAAUGAGAUUCCUUCACAGCAUGAGAAGCUCGGUCAUCCAGGAGGAUCUCAGAGUAGACCCGCUGCUCUUCCACAUCGAGAGGAGCCAGAUGAGGUGGCCGGGGCAUCUGAUUCAGAUGCCUCCCGGACGUCUCCCUGGUAAGGUGUUCCGGGCACGUCCCACCGGAAUGUGACCCCGGGGACGAACCAGGACACGCCGGAGAGACUGUCUUUCGGCUGGCCCGGCCGGGAACUCCUUGGGAUCCCCCCAGAAGAGCUGGACGAAGUGGCUGGGGAGAGGGAAGUCUGGGCGUCCCUGCAAAAGGUACUGCCCCCGUGACCCGACUUCAGAUAAGCAGUAGAAAAUAGAUGGAUGGAUGGACAGUGGCCAGUGAGACAUUUGCAAGCAUUCUUCAACGCCCACCCCACAUCGGGUAGAUCGAGCUGGAAAAGUGGGCUUUGGUGGUCUGCGUAAAAGGGGCUCUAUUUAGUGAAGUUGUGUUCCUGCUGUGCUUCAGUGGUUAUCGUUGAUGUUCUGCUGUAGCUGGUCAACUUAAGCGGUGUUAGAUGCAAUUGAAAAAGUACAAAGUAUGCCCAGCAAGAGGACAACUUGUCUUUUCAACGUCUACGCUCAACCGGGUUUCUAGUUUUCAUAUUUGUUUGAUGAAAACUAACUGAUUAAAGUACCAUGAAGCUGUUCAAGGCUGUGUUUUGAUUCAUCUUUCUCGCUCAAAUAAAACGAUCGCCCUGUUAUGCUUCUCCCAGGUGUGAUGUGCACAGUCUCAGCAGCCCAGAAGGACGAGCUGGUGCUGGAGGGCAACGAUAUUGAGCUGGUGUCAAAUUCCGCUGCUCUCAUCCAGCAGGCCACCACAGUCAAAAACAAGGACAUCAGAAAGUUCUUGGAUGGCAUUUAUGUGUCUGAGAAAGGAACAGUCGUGGAAUCGGAUAAGUAAAGUUGGAAUCUGAACUCCGGGUCAGAAAAGCAAGAUUUUCUGUGCUUGAAAUUAAACCUCAAGCUGUUGUGGUGGCCCUAACGAACCAACACGUCUUCCCUGAUAGACACCAGAAACGUCCUUUUGAAAUCCAUCAGUAUAUUCUCUGAAGACCAAUAAAGUUGGAAGAUUGUUUCAUCA